UACCAAUUGGUUUCCGAUUGA
rnacentral:piRNA from 1 species